UUUAUUGGUUAUAAAAAUCAAUAUAUUUCAAACAGAAUGAAGAAAAUCAAGAUGUUUAGCGAUAACUACAAUGCAAGCCUUUCACAGAUGCCACCCGGCUUGGAGCCUAAUCUGCUUGCGUGCCGGGCUUGCCUCGCCACCGACACCAAACUGUACAAUCUUGCUGGUGUUCUGAAGGAAACAUAUGAAUAUCUGACGGGUAUGCCGGUGUGACGAACAGACAGGCUGCCGCAGCACGUGUGCGGCUGCUGCGGAACGUUACUGAACAAAUAUAGGUCUUUUAAGCAGCGCUGCGGCACCACGCACCGCCUCAUGGGGGAUAUACUACAGCACUGUGCG